UCCUCACAGCGCACAAUCCCGACGAGUCCAGGCAUCACUGAAGAGCAGACACCGGCGGAAUCGGACGUCCAUCGUCCUCGGCAGAAGUAACCAGGUGUUAUCUUAUGAAAACUUUAUCGUCAUCAAAUGAAGCUGACCGUCCUGUCGAUGAGAAUGACCAUGCUUCGUAGGAGGAACAGACUUUUUUCCGUCUCCAAGCGACCGGAGAGGCGCAGGGGCGAGACAAUAACGCCCAGAAGUUAUUGAAAUGAAUCGUCAUGAAAGGAGCUGGCACAAGAAGAAGAAACCGAACGAGUGCUAACAGCGUUAGCCUUCACCGCAGAGGGAAGGAGGGGAAGCAGAAAAUCCCUAGAGCAGAACACAACGAAGAAAAGACAAGAGUGAUGAAAGAGAGGUCCAGACAUGAAGGAGGCACGCACUUGCGCACACACAUACAACGGCACCUAGAGCCUGUCUGCGGUCUACCACCACCCUGCCACACACACACACACACACACGCCUUUUACGGGCAGCAGAUAAAGAGGGAGAUGCCAUUCCAGCUGUGAGGAGAUGGAAGAAGUCAACACACACACACAUAUACACACACACACACGUAUACACACAUACACACAGACCCGGAGGCGUGUGAGCAGGUGAGCAUUAAGUCAGGCAGCUAAACAGAUCACGUCGCGGUAUGAUAUCUACAGACAGGCAGACAGAGGAGGCCGGUCUGUACCUGCAGGCAGAGAGCAACAACUCACAGCACCCUCGCCAGGAAUUUCCCCCCCUCCUGAGAGAGGGAGAGACUGAGACUGAAGGUGAGGGACAGACAUUAACUGGGUUUUCCACUGAAGUGUUUUUUUUUGUGCAAACCAAAUUGUAAAGCCUAAACAGAAACUGGUUUUGCAAAUCCUCCUCUUAAUUAUUACCUUCAGUGUCGCAAAAUAUUUUCUUUACCCGUGACAUGUAGCAGCAUUUUUUUGGUGAUAAAAGAAACACAUUUAACAUCCAAAUAUUUUUUUUCCCAUAUAAAGUGCAUUACAAACUUAGUGCUUAAAAUUUUACCAAAAUUAGAUGGUGACAUUAAAUGAUACUAACAACAUUCCUCUCCUCCUCUUAUUUUGUUUCUUGUUGCAGGAUAAUUCAUUUCUCAAAAGUAUUAAUUUUCAUUGAGUUCUUUUAUGUACUUGUAUUUAAUUUCAUUCGUAAUUAGUUUUCCAAGUACAUUUACAGCUUUAGAAUUUUCCCUUCUGGAGAUGCUCUUUUUAACUUCUUUUUCACAUGUUGUUUUCAUUUUCCAAGGUCUUUUAUAUUAUAAAAUAACAAUAAUAUUUUUAUGUUUUCACCCAUGAUUUUUUCCAGGCAAUGGUUCAACUUUUUCAUGCCUAAGAUUCUCAGAAUACACAUAAAGCUACACUUUAGGACAGUAAGAUAAAAAAAAAGCAGACAUUGAAGAGUGGCGAAAAAAUAUCAAUCCUGUUUAGAAAAAUAAUAGAAAGACUGUCUCAAAAUGACCCGUCCUCUGCUUAGCCACAUUUUAAGUUCAACAGUCUCACUUAACCUCAGUUGUCAAUAUACUUUGACACUGAAAUAGAGCAGCACAUUCACACGCUUCUGUAAUAUCAAAUGCAGAUGUUUUUUUUGUUAUUUUGGGGUAAUUUAAUCACCUCCUGUAUGAUUUGUCUUUCUGAGAUUACUAAGAUGUUUUGACAAGAUCUGCGGUACUAAUUGUGAAACUUUGACAGUAUCAGUUACAAAAACUUGCUUGACUAGUUUGCUACUGUGAACGCACCUAAAAGCAGCUUUGACAUUUUAUUUUUUUAUUUUUUUUUACCAGAUUUCAUGGAUGCCUUUCAUUCAUGAUCUGCUCAGCAUAUGUGUUCUUUAUCAAUAGCAUCCUGUAUCACAUUCAUAGUAAUUCCCCUCUGGGAAUGGUGUUGGCUGCUGAGCAGCUCCACUGAACCAACUGGGGGUCUAUGCCGUUGCUCAAUAGAUCCUCAACAGUAGUUAAUAAAUAAAGGAAAGUAAAGCUAUCAACUUCUCUUGCACAGAUUUUCCAAACUGGUUCAUUAAAUCACACAACUGGUCCUCAAAGUCACAAACCUGCUUCUCUUCCCUUCUAUCUAACCUUGUCCUUGAAUUGAAAUUGUUUCACUCAUUAGGCAGAUCGUCAAUGUUCUGUGAUUAGCUGGUUUCUUGUCUUUUUUUUUUCCAAAGCUCUCUAUAUUCAGUCUGAAAAGCGCCUCCUGAAAUUUUUACAAGUCACAACUCUUCCCACACAAACCACCACAUCCACUUAUCUAAAAAUGAUUCAGUGGUUAAAUGUCAGAGCUGUCCAUGCCAUUAAGGCCAGCAUGUUUGAAGGAAGGACACCCUUGCCUGCCCUCUCCCCCCUCCCUCCUCUGUCUCUUCUUAUUCCUCUCUCUCUCAAUCUCCCCUUGCGUUCCUCUCUCCCGUUAGCUCCCUCAUCAUCUAUCCCCCUCACCCACCCAGGCUGGUUUGAGGGCUGAUGUGCAGAACUUGUCAUUCAGAUUAGGGCCACAUUGUCAGCUCAGGGCCAUUCUCUCUCUAGUUGCGUGUCCCGGAUCUUUCUUCCUACUAUCACCCUCGUCCUGCGGCCAGAGAAGACCUUAUAAAGCAACAUUCCUUCUCAUCCACUUCUGUCAAUUCCAACACUGUCACUCAAAUCACUUUUCGGGAGAGUGGAGAGAGGCCGAUGUCCCUUGCAGCAAGGACUGUGCUUUUUGGUCCAAGCUUGGCUUGGUGACGUGUCAGCAGCAAGCAAACUGUUUUUUGAUUUGAGGUAUUUUGAGUUAUGAUUUUUUUUUUCACAACUGACAAGCUUCUCAGAAGAAUCUAACUGUGAUGCACAGCAAAUGACAAAAUAGGAGCAGCUCUUGUGAUCCAAAGGAGAGAAAAGAAGUAGCACACUCUUCGCUUUCAUGUCUUUUAAAAUCUUCAGAUGUUAUUACUCACUGUGGUGUUGUUUAAUAGUAAAGACUACCAGAGUCAUUGUGUUAUUUUUUAACUCUGUUGUCUGUGUGAAAUGAGUGUUUGGCAGGAGAUGAGAGGUCCACCACAUCAUCUUAGUCACUCCUUAUCCUGCUCUGUUUAAGUGUCCCAACACCAUAUUUAUCUUCCGACCACAUCUUGACUCACUGCCACAGUCACAUCAUAUCUAAUUGCUAUGACAGCUCUGUGGCAUUUGAUGUUUGUCCUUCUCACAAACUGCUUUUUUUUUUCUCAUGAUGAGAAACAAUGAUUCAGCAGUGUGUAAUAAAACCUUUAUUGCAAGA